UACGAAGGGGGCUAGCGUUGUUCGGAAUUACUGGGCGUAAAGCGUGCGCAGGCGGCUUUGCAAGACAGAUGUGAAAUCCCCGGGCUUAACCUGGGAACUGCAUUUGUGACUGCAUGGCUGGAGUGCGGCAGAGGGGGAUGGAAUUCCGCGUGUAGCAGUGAAAUGCGUAGAUAUGCGGAGGAACACCGAUGGCGAAGGCAAUCCCCUGGGCCUGCACUGACGCUCAUGCACGAAAGCGUGGGGAGCGAACAGG
rnacentral:rRNA from 1 species